GACGUAGGAGGCGAGCGUUGUCCGGAGUUACUGGGCGUAAAGCGCGUGCAGGCGGCCCUGUGCGCUGCCGGUGAAAGCUCCCGGCUUACCUGGGAGAGGUUCGGCAGGACGGCAGGGCUGGAGGGUGGGAGAGGUCGGUGGAAUUCCCGGUGUAGUGGUGAAAUGCGUAGAGAUCGGGAGGAACACCCGUAGCGAAGGCGGCCGACUGGACCACACCUGACGCUGAGGCGCGAAGGCCAGGGGAGCGAACGGG
rnacentral:rRNA from 1 species